GGGAUGUGCCAACAUUGCCCACCGUGUGGUUCCUCAAGGAGAGAGGACAGCUUCUCUGUCUGCAUCCCUCCUGGAUGGGUUGGAGCCCAGGGAUUUGGGGGUAGGAGCCCCUCGUCCGUGUCUUGCGCCGAAUUCCUCCGUCGGGUUGGGUUUAUCCAAAAGUGACGUGCAUCUGGGCUGGGGGUGGGGAGAGGGGGCUGGCAGGGGACUCUUGUGGCAACAGCUGGGACCAGGCCUAAACAUGAUUAAUUAACAGUGUAAAAAAAAAAAAAAUGAGAGAGAGAGAGACAGAAAGAGAGAGAAAGAAAACCCAAGUCGCAGACACAAUUAAGAUUUAUGGGCCCAGAAGGAUGAGGAGACUGGGGAUGGAGGAGACGAAGAAGGGAAGGAGAAAGAAUGCCAAGUAGAUCACGGUCUUUGCAUACUAAUGAUGGCUGAGCACGGCUUCCAGGGUGCGAUCUCUGACGGAGGGGGGAGACGAGGCUCUGGGUGGAUCCUCGGUCCCCGCACACAUGCUUUCAUCCCUCUUUUAUCAUCCUGGAGAUCUGAGGCCCAGCCGGACAGACAGACAGACAGUCCGUGGCUUCCCCACCUGCAUCGCGCAUGGAGUGGGGCAGGGACAUGCUGCGGCUCACGUGGCUGGUAACUGCAAAGCCAACAGAAAACCAGGAGUGUGCAUGUUUGUGCUUUCCAGAACACGCUGAUCCAACGUGCAGAGCCACACUGGGUACCCACAUCCAUCCCCAGUUGGUCUCUGCCACCAAAGUUUUCAGUAAAAGUCUUUUUUUGGGGACACCGAUGGCUUGGAGCACUGCGAGAUCAUCCAGCCCUGGCCUCCCCACCCAGUGCUCUGGGUCGGGUUGUUAUCUCAGGGUGAGUAAUUAAUUCUCCUAAACACCAGCAGCUGGCCCUGGGUGGGAGCUGUGCUGGGGAGAGCUGCGGUUGGGUUACAAGAUGCGAGAACACCUGUCCUUGCCUCACCUUUUCUCCCUAAAAUCUAUAAAAGGGGAGAGGGGAAGGCAGGUGCCUGGGUCCCUGCCCAGGGAAGAUGCUGUGGGUGAGACUGCUUCUCCUUUUUGCAAGGACGGGAGGAUUUGGGAAGCUGUGUGUUACGAAGUCGUGCAGCAAAACCUGAUGUUGAGCUCUUCUGGGUCAGCUAUACCGAGGGGUGGCAUCACUCAAAAUGUGGCUGGGACAAGCUGCCUGCAAGCAAUUGUGGCUUGUAAGUGUCCGUAUAUAAACCCAGCUUGUUCCCCUGCUAGUGGCAGCCUAAAAAAUCAUGCUGGGGGGAGCCACUCAUCCUUUCCCACCCCUACCAGUGCUCUGCUGCUGGGAUCUGGGGUGCUCUGGGGGGCUCUGGAGCCAGCCAGGGCUCAGUCCUCAGCAUCACAGAGGCUGGAAAUGGUUCCCUCGCCUUCCCUG
rnacentral:lncRNA from 1 species